rnacentral:lncRNA from 1 species
UGGCUUUUUCUUUGUCACACAGCUGGAUAUCUCAAAUGCUUUCAGUGUGCAAAAGUUUUGAGAGAUAACACCUGUUCUCGUACUGAAACUACCUGUGAAACCGAUGGAUACUGCUAUACUGAAAGAAUAAAGAGAGAAGGAUUUGAUACACAUGUGUUACGAGGUUGCACAGACAGAUGCCUACAUAUAAUAUAUUACAAAAUAAAGCUGACAAGGUAUCAAUUUUGCUGUGAAAAAAAUUACUGUAACCUGUAUAACGCUUGGAUAUGAACUUUUCUCAUCUCAGCCUUAUAAACACUCAGGAUUUGUGAUU